GCUUAUGUGCAUGAAGUACACAUGUGUAUGCAUACAUGUAUGUACAGACCAGGAGUCGGUGCUGAGUGUCUCUCCUCUGACUCCACCCGCCUCGUUUUCUGAGACACGGUGUCUCACUAGACUGGAACUCCCGGACUAGCCUAGUCUGGCUCUAGCAAGUUUCAGGGAUCUACCUGUCUUUUAGUCCUUAGUCCUUUUAAAAACAACAAACAAACAAGAACAUGUUGUGAGGGCUGAACACUGGUCUUCAUGCUUGCAAGACAAGCGAUUUGCCAACAGAGCCUUUCCCCUGGUCCCACAAUGAUGUUGGAAAAUUAUAAAAAAGGGCUGUCUUUUACCCCCACUAGAUCUGGCACCACAGUGCCCCAAGAUCUCUGGUGCACAGAAGCACACAUCCCAACUCUACCGCCACACACUCUCCCAGACUCAGUUCUCCACAAGAAAGAACACUCAAGACAAUAACCCCUGAUCCAACUGAUAAGAUAAUUGCCCACCUAAGCAUACAAAGCCCCGUACAAUCCAUCCCUUAAGAACAUUCAUAACAAACUGUAAAUACACAGAGUGGAAUCUUAGUGUCAGCCUCCAUGUUCUCUCUGUGGCUUCUCCGGCUUCUCCCCCCAGUCUCUAGUCUCCUCCCGUUCCAGUCUCCUCCUCUUCCCUCAAACUUUUCUCCCGCCCAUCCUUCCUUCUUGUCCAAUGACAGGCCUCCUUCUAUCUUGUACCUGCCUUACCUGUAUGACAUCAUCCCACACCCCAACUCAGUGGCUUGUUGCCGUUUUUUUUUAAUGGGGUCUCACUCUGUAUGUGUGGUUGGUUGACCUUCAGUGCUUAUAACAUCAGGAACUGAGAAGCAAGGCAGUGAGGGAGUCCACCAGGCAGUAGCCACACAUGUGGAUCCAGUAGUCAGAGUGGGUGAAUACUGCACUGAUGAGGGAGGGAGAGAUGGAUUCAUCAGACGCGGUGACAUCAGCCUAUCAGAGCUCCUGGGAAAGGGCCACAGAGUUCAGGAGAACUGACAGGGAGAGGGGUAGUGGUGGGAGGAUGCUUGAGAGGGGGGAUGGUGAUUAUGACAGUGUCUAUGAUGAGGCAAGGCUGGAGCUGCUGGAAAAGGGAGCAGGAUGAAAUACAGCGUGGGCUAAAUGGCACCACCUACAGCUCCUGUCUAGACCUUGGAACUGCGACUACGACCUUUACGUGGGGAAGAACAAGUCCUGGAAUUUAUGUACCCUCGGCCUGCCUUUGCCAACACGACGAUGUCGGUGUGAUGGGAGCUCUGUGCUGUGAUGGUGGAACAAGCUUGAACCAUUGUGUUAAAUGAUGGACAGCUGAAUUCCUGUUCAGUGAUUCUCAUGGCUCCGUGGCGGUGACGCAUCCAGAUGGGAAAGCAGAAAUGCGGUGCAUGGGAAAGAGCUUUGGCAUCUCACACACCGCGGACCAAGAAUACACGGAAGGACUCAUGAGGGCAAGGUGGAUGACUGCCAGUUUGUCUGCGUUGCCCAGCAAUGAGCCAAGUAGAAAAGAACCUGCAGAGAGUCGAGGAAGAAGGAGAGAUGGCGAUACUGAAGGGGCACUGAGAACCUGAUGGGACUGGAGCAAGGAAGAGCCACAUUGUCAUCAAGUUAGGGUACAGAGGUGUUCCUUCGAAAAGGGAGUGAGAAAGCUGUCCUGCUUAGUUUCUACCGACUUCCCUUUGUUUAUUUUUUUUCUGUUUUCUUCUAUAUAUUUUAGGUUAUACACAUAGUAGUGGGUUUCUUUGUGGCAUUUGCAUACACAGGUGUCAUUAAAUUCCGUUCUCAUUCAUUCCCCUCCCAGCUUUCCUUGCCAACAAACAUGAUAUCUGUUACUAGUUCCCAGUCAAUAAAUGGCCACUGACUAGUUUUUAUCUGUCUUCCUACCUAGAUUGUUUUAUGUGAAAGAUUUGAGACUGGGGGUCUGUAUCAGUGUCCCUCAAUUGAUUAGACCUUUUAUUGCUGCAGGGCACCUCAGAGGGCUGACCAUACAUUUGGUAGAAUAGCAUUCUGUAGUGGACUCAACACUCAAACAAGACUUCCUGUCGACAUACUGGACUUUCCUUCCAGCCCGAUGGAAGUGGGCAAGAAGUUAUUGGAGCGGUUCAAUGGCCCGAGCCUCAGGGCUAAGCUUGGAAAUGCAUUCUAUUUUAGCCCCUAGAUGUGAACUACUAGAAGAUAAAAUUUG